UGGGGAAUUUUGGACAAUGGGCGAAAGCCUGAUCCAGCAAUGCCGCGUGUGUGAAGAAGGCCUUCGGGUUGUAAAGCACUUUUGUCCGGAAAGAAAUCCUUGGUUUUAAUAUAGCCGGGGGAUGACGGUACCGGAAGAAUAAGCACCGGCUAACUACGUG
rnacentral:rRNA from 1 species